ACGAACGCUGGCGGCGUGCUUAACACAUGCAAGUCGAGCGGAAAGGCCUUUCGGGGUACUCGAGCGGCGAACGGGUGAGUAACACGUGAGUAAUCUGCCCUGCACUCUGGGAUAGCCACCGGAAACGGUGAUUAAUACCGGAUAUGACAAUCUUGCGCAUGUGGGGUUGUGGAAAGUUUUUUCGGUGCGGGAUGUGCUCGCGGCCUAUCAGCUUGUUGGUGGGGUAAUGGCCUACCAAGGCUUCGACGGGUAGCCG
rnacentral:rRNA from 3 species